rnacentral:rRNA from 1 species
AUUGAACGCUAGCGGGAUGCUUUACACAUGCAAGUCGAACGGCAGCGCGGACUUCGGUCUGGCGGCGAGUGGCGAACGGGUGAGUAAUGUAUCGGAACGUGCCCAGUAGCGGGGGAUAACUACGCGAAAGCGUAGCUAAUACCGCAUACGCCCUACGGGGGAAAGCAGGGGAUCGUAAGACCUUGCACUAUUGGAGCGGCCGAUAUCGGAUUAGCUAGUUGGUGAGGUAACGGCUCACCAAGGCGACGAUCCGUAGCUGGUUUGAGAGGACGACCAGCCACACUGGGACUGAGACACGGCCCAGACUCCUACGGGAGGCAGCAGUGGGGAAUUUUGGACAAUGGGGGAAACCCUGAUCCAGCCAUCCCGCGUGUGCGAUGAAGGCCUUCGGGUUGUAAAGCACUUUUGGCAGGAAAGAAACGUCGCGGGCUAAUACCCCGUGGAACUGACGGUACCUGCAGAAUAAGCACCGGCUAACUACGUG